GACGAACGCUGGCGGCGUGCUUAACACAUGCAAGUCGAACGAAGUGGCGAACGGGUGAGUAAUGCGUAAUCAACCUGCCCUUCAGAGGGGGUAAACACUUGGAAACGACUGCUAAUACCGAUUACGGAAUGAGGGGUAGGCGUGUGAUUAGCUCAUUGGAGGGGUGACGGCCCACCAAGGCGAUGAUCAGUAACCUGUUCGACAGGAUGAACGGCCACAUUGGGACUGGUACAAGGGCCAGAAUCCUACGGGAGGGCACAGGUGGGAAUCUUCCGCAAUUGAGGCAAGUCUUGAGACGCACCGCCGGGUGGGAUAUGACGGGCUUCGGGUUGGAAAGCUCUUUUAAUCGGGACGCGGUACCCGAAUAGAAAGCCACGGCUAACUACGUGCCAGCAGCCGCGGUAAUUC
rnacentral:rRNA from 1 species